rnacentral:rRNA from 1 species
UGACCUGCCCAUUGGGUUCUAAAAGGCCGCGGUAUUAUGACCGUGCAAAGGUAGCAUAAUCAUUAGUCUUUUAAUUGAAGGCUAGAAUGAAUGGUUGGACAAGAAAUAAUCUGUCUUAAGUUAAUAUAUUGAAUUUAACUUUUAAGUGAAAAGGCUUAAAUUUUCUAGAGUGACGAUAAGACCCUAUAAAACUUUAUAUUUUAAAAUAAUAAUUAGUUUUAUUUAAGAAUUUUAUUUAAAAAUAUUUUAUUGGGGUGAUAAAGAUAUAAAUUUAAAUAACUGUCUUCUUUUUUUACAAUAAUAUUUGAAUUAAUGAUCCUAAGAAAGGAGUAAAAGAUCAAGUUACUUUAGGGAUAACAGCGUAAUUUUUUUUAAGAGUUCAUAUCGACAAGAAAGUUUGCGACCUCGAUGUUGAAUUAAAAAAUCUUUAUAGAGCA